rnacentral:rRNA from 1 species
UACGUAGGGCGCAAGCGUUGUCCGGAAUUAUUGGGCGUAAAGAGCCCGUAGGCGGUUUGUCGCGUCUGCUGUGAAAACCUAAGGCUCAACCUUGGGCUUGCAGUGGGUACGGGCAGACUAGAGUGCGGUAGGGGUGACUGGAAUUCCUGGUGUAGCGGUGGAAUGCGCAGAUAUCAGGAGGAACACCGAUGGCGAAGGCAGGUCACUGGGCCGCAACUGACGCUGAGGAGCGAAAGCAUGGGGAGCGAACAGG